rnacentral:rRNA from 1 species
GAGUUUGAUUAUGGCUCAGAUUGAACGCUGGCGGCAGGCUUAACACAUGCAAGUCGAACGGUAGCAGGAGAAAGCUUGCUUUCUUGCUGACGAGUGGCGGACGGGUGAGUAAUGCUUGGGAAUCUGGCUUAUGGAGGGGGAUAACUACUGGAAACGGUAGCUAAUACCGCGUAAUAUCGAGAGAUUAAAGACUGGGACCUACGGGCCAGUUGCCAUAAGAUGAGCCCAAGUGGGAUUAGGUAGUUGGUGGGGUAAAGGCCUACCAAGCCCGCGAUCUCUAGCUGGUCUGAGAGGAUGACCAGCCACACUGGAACUGAGACACGGUCCAGACUCCUACGGGAGGCAGCAGUGGGGAAUAUUGCACAAUGGGGGGAACCCUGAUGCAGCCAUGCCGCGUGAAUGAAGAAGGCCUUCGGGUUGUAAAGUUCUUUCGGUGGUGAGGAAGGUAUCAACUUUAAUAGAGUUGGUAGAAGACGUUAUCCACAGAAGAAGCCCCG